GAUGAACGCUGGCGGCGUGCCUAAUACAUGCAAGUCGAGCGAACGGACGAGAAGCUUGCUUCUCUGAUGUUAGCGGCGGACGGGUGAGUAACACGUGGAUAACCUACCUAUAAGACUGGGAUAACUUCGGGAAACCGUAGCUAAUACCGGAUAAUAUUUUGAACCGCAUGGUUCAAAAGUGAAAGACGGUCUUGCUGUCACUUAUAGAUGGAUCCGCGCUGCAUUAGCUAGUUGGUAAGGUAACGGCUUACCAAGGCAACGAUGCAUAGCCGACCUGAGAGGGUGAUCGGCCACACUGGAACUGAGACACGGUCCAGACUCCUACGGGAGGCAGCAGUAGGGAAUCUUCCGCAAUGGGCGAAAGCCUGACGGAGCAACGCCGCGUGAGUGAUGAAGGUCUUCGGAUCGUAAAACUCUGUUAGUAGGGAAGAACAAAUGUGUAAGUAACUGUGCACAUCUUGACGGUACCUAAUCAGAAAGCCACGGCUAACUACGUG
rnacentral:rRNA from 1 species